rnacentral:rRNA from 1 species
AUUGAACGCUGGCGGAAUGCUUUACACAUGCAAGUCGAACGGCAGCACGGACUUCGGUCUGGUGGCGAGUGGCGAACGGGUGAGUAAUAUAUCGGAACGUGCCCAGUCGUGGGGGAUAACGUAGCGUAAGUUACGCUAAUACCGCAUACGAUCUACGGAUGAAAGCGGGGGAUCGCAAGACCUCGCGCGAUUGGAGCGGCCGAUAUCAGUUUAGGUAGGUGGUGGGGUAAAGGCUCACCAAGCCAACGAUCUGUAGCUGGUCUGAGAGGACGACCAGCCACACUGGAACUGGGACACGGUCCAGACUCCUACGGGAGGCAGCAGUGGGGAAUUUUGGACAAUGGACGCAAGUCUGAUCCAGCCAUUCCGCGUGCAGGAUGAAGGCCCUCGGGUUGUAAACUGCUUUUGUACAGAACGAAAAGGCUCUUCCUAAUACGGAGGGCUCAUGACGGUACUGUAAGAAUAAGCACCGGCUAACUACGUGCCAGCCGCCGCAGUAA